AUCCAGCUGACGAGUCCCUAAUAGGACGAGAUGAGUGUCCUGAAU
rfam:Schistosoma margrebowiei strain Zambia genome assembly, scaffold: SMRZ_contig0004109